CGAACCGGGGGAACUGAAACAUCUAAGUACCCCGAGGAAAAGAAAUCAACCGAGAUUCCCCCAGUAGCGGCGAGCGAACGGGGAGCAGCCCAGAGCCUGAAUCAGUAUGUGUGUUAGUGGAAGCGUCUGGAAAGGCGCGCGAUACAGGGUGACAGCCCCGUACACAAAAAUGCACAUGCUGUGAGCUCGAUGAGUAGGGCGGGACACGUGGUAUCCUGUCUGAAUAUGGGGGGACCAUCCUCCAAGGCUAAAUACUCCUGACUGACCGAUAGUGAACCAGUACCGUGAGGGAAAGGCGAAAAGAACCCCGGCGAGGGGAGUGAAAAAGAACCUGAAACCGUGUACGUACAAGCAGUGGGAGCACGCUUAGGCGUGUGACUGCGUACCUUUUGUAUAAUGGGUCAGCGACUUAUAUUCUGUAGCAAGGUUAACCGAAUAGGGGAGCCGAAGGGAAACCGAGUCUUAACUGGGCGUUAAGUUGCAGGGUAUAGACCCGAAACCCGGUGAUCUAGCCAUGGGCAGGUUGAAGGUUGGGUAACACUAACUGGAGGACCGAACCGACUAAUGUUGAAAAAUUAGCGGAUGACUUGUGGCUGGGGGUGAAAGGCCAAUCAAACCGGGAGAUAGCUGGUUCUCCCCGAAAGCUAUUUAGGUAGCGCCUCGUGAAUUCAUCUCCGGGGGUAGAGCACUGUUUCGGCAAGGGGGUCAUCCCGACUUACCAACCCGAUGCAAACUGCGAAUACCGGAGAAUGUUAUCACGGGAGACACACGGCGGGUGCUAACGUCCGUCGUGAAGAGGGAAACAACCCAGACCGCCAGCUAAGGUCCCAAAGUCAUGGUUAAGUGGGAAACGAUGUGGGAAGGCCCAGACAGCCAGGAUGUUGGCUUAGAAGCAGCCAUCAUUUAAAGAAAGCGUAAUAGCUCACUGGUCGAGUCGGCCUGCGCGGAAGAUGUAACGGGGCUAAACCAUGCACCGAAGCUGCGGCAGCGACGCUGAUGCGUUGUUGGGUAGGGGAGCGUUCUGUAAGCCUGCGAAGGUGUGCUGUGAGGCAUGCUGGAGGUAUCAGAAGUGCGAAUGCUGACAUAAGUAACGAUAAAGCGGGUGAAAAGCCCGCUCGCCGGAAGACCAAGGGUUCCUGUCCAACGUUAAUCGGGGCAGGGUGAGUCGACCCCUAAGGCGAGGCCGAAAGGCGUAGUCGAUGGGAAACAGGUUAAUAUUCCUGUACUUGGUGUUACUGCGAAGGGGGGACGGAGAAGGCUAUGUUGGCCGGGCGACGGUUGUCCCGGUUUAAGCGUGUAGGCUGGUUUUCCAGGCAAAUCCGGAAAAUCAAGGCUGAGGCGUGAUGACGAGGCACUGCGGUGCUGAAGCAACAAAUGCCCUGCUUCCAGGAAAAGCCUCUAAGCAUCAGGUAACAUCAAAUCGUACCCCAAACCGACACAGG
rnacentral:rRNA from 1 species